GUGGGGAAUAUUGGACAAUGGGGGGAACCCUGAUCCAGCCAUGCCGCGUGUGUGAAGAAGGCCUUUUGGUUGUAAAGCACUUUAAGCGAGGAGGAGGCUACCGAGAUUAAUACUCUUGGAUAGUGGACGUUACUCGCAGAAUAAGCACCGGCUAACUCUGUGCCAGCGGCCGCGGUAAUACAGAGGGUGCAAGCGUUAAUCGGAUUUACUGGGCGUAAAGCGCGCGUAGGUGGCCAAUUAAGUCAAAUGUGAAAUCCCCGAGCUUAACUUGGGAAUUGCAUUCGAUACUGGUUGGCUAGAGUAUGGGAGAGGAUGGUAGAAUUCCAGGUGUAGCGGUGAAAUGCGUAGAGAUCUGGAGGAAUACCGAUGGCGAAGGCAGCCAUCUGGCCUAAUACUGACACUGAGGUGCGAAAGCAUGGGGAGCAAACAGGAUUAGAAACCCCGGUAGUCC
rnacentral:rRNA from 1 species